rnacentral:antisense_RNA from 1 species
UAAGCAUGGAAAUCCCCUGAGUGAAACAACGAAUUGCUGUGUGUAGUCUUUGCCCAUCUCCCACGAUGGGCUUUUUUUUAA